rnacentral:lncRNA from 1 species
UAUAAUUUGUUUAUCCUUGACUCACUAAUAUGACCAAGACGGCAAUGCCAGAGAUAUGUGAUAUUCAUAUUUUUUUUUCUAUUUUCUUUCAAUAAUAAAAAUAUUUUUAUUGAGUGUAAAAAUUAAAAGAUUAUUAUCAACAUAACCAUUGCCAUAAAAUUAUUAAAAAAGAAAAUGAAGCAUCUAUUUUCCAUUAGUCUUAUUUCAUAACCUUGUUUUAAUAACAAAUAUAUAGAAAUAAUAUUUCUAAUGACCUUUGGCAUGUAAUAACAGUCUUUCAAUUCUAAAAUUUUAUUUGAAGAUAAAUCAAGCAUACAGGAUCCCA